GAUCCGGCUGUUGUUGGUCGGCCGUAUAGGUCUGUACUCUUCUGGCCGGAUCUUUCCUUCUGGAAAACCAUCAUGCCAUUAAUUUGGUGUGAUGGCGAUCCAGGACUUUUACCUUGAAAAAAUUAGAGUGUUUAAAGCAGGCAUACGCUUGAAUACAUUAGCAUGGAAUAAUAGAAUAGG
rnacentral:rRNA from 1 species